UAUUUUAAUGCCUGUAGCCUAAAACCAAGACCAUCUUUAUUCUUUGUUCUCUCUUAUCGAUUGGACAUUUCCUCUCUCUCUCAGUCAUUCAAUCAAACACUUGCCGAGUCGCGCCCCUUCGUUUGCAAGAUAAACUCUCUUUACAAUGUUUCGAAGGUCGAUCUUGGAAUUAUCGUCUCGUCAAACAGUGAGGAGGAUCCCGAGGCGGGUUACAUCUCAGCCUGUACCGUCAUUUCUUUCUUCAAGGAAGGAAUUUUCAACGUCAUUCCAGAAAAAUGCACCCCCAAAAGCUGGUUCCAGUGGUAAACCACCUGAAUCAAAGAGCAGUUUACCAAAAGUUCUCCUGGGAACCGCCAUUGUUUCUGGUGCUGCUCUGUUAGCAUACCAAUCAGGUUAUUUAGACCAAUUUAUUGCUAAAGAGCAGCAAAGCUGCGCUAAGGUUGGCAAUGAUGAUAAAGAGGUAAAGGAAACCCAACAUUUCGGAGAGCACGUGACUGUUACCAUUAGUGAAGAACCUGGCAAGUUGAGUCACGGUUUGGAGCAGACUGGAGAAAAGGUUGAAAAUCAGAUAGAUCUUCCUCAAGUUGAAGCUCAGCAGAAGGCUGAAACUC
rnacentral:misc_RNA from 1 species